CCUACGGGGGGCAGCAGUGAGGAAUAUUGGUCAAUGGACGAGAGUCUGAACCAGCCAAGUAGCGUGAAGGAUGACUGCCCUAUGGGUUGUAAACUUCUUUUAUAUGGGAAUAAAAUGUUCCACGUGUGGGAUUUUGUAUGUACCAUAUGAAUAAGGAUCGGCUAACUCCGUGCCAGCAGCCGCGGUAAUACGGAGGAUCCGAGCGUUAUCCGGAUUUAUUGGGUUUAAAGGGAGCGUAGGUGGAUUUUUAAGUCAGUUGUGAAAGUUUGCGGCGCAACCGUAAAAUUGCAGUUGAAACUGGCAGUCUUGAGUACAGUAGAGGUGGGCGGAAUUCGUGGUGUAGCGGUGAAAUGCUUAGAUAUCACGAAGAACUCCGAUUGCGAAGGCAGUUCACUGGACUGCAACUGACACUGAGGCUCGAAAGUGUGGGUAUCAAACAGGAUUAGAUACCCGAGUAGUC
rnacentral:rRNA from 1 species